rnacentral:sRNA from 1 species
UCCCCCGGCUGAGACAUCGAUCGGCGCGAUAGUGUCAGCUUCAAACGGCCAGAGCUUAGCUGAAGCCCGGUCAAUGGUCUAUGGAGUUUGUUCUAUCUUGUGCCAAAUAGGAAUCUGACUGUGGCGUCGAUCAGCGCCACGACGGCUAUCACCCGCUGAUCAACCCACAGAGUGAGGAACCCUUUUGGGAGAAACCCAUUGGAUCAAUGCAUCUCCGAGAUCACAUUCCGCUUCGCAAUUGCCUCAAUUGCAAAGAGUGUUGGCAAGCAUCUCGAACGGAGACAAAUGCUUUUCCCCUUUCCACGGAC